AGCAGAGUUGAUAUUUAUUUAUUUGCAUCAUUUGAAAAUUGUUAGAGAUAAUAAUAAUUGUGGCUCAUCAAUUAAUAACCCAUUUUAUGUAUUUACAGGCCUGGUUACCACUGAUGUGUGAUUGCAAGUGCCCUUAUAAUCCAAAUCUAUAUUUUUGGUUCAGUGGCUCUUAUGAUACCCAGGCAGGUGUAUUGACAACAAAGAAGGAAGAACUUUUGCUUUGUUUUCAGUGACUGUCUUCAGUGUUGUCAAAUAAUCAUGGGGUGAGGAAUCCCUUAAAAAUCAGUCUCUUGUAGACAUCCUGUUUACAGCAUGACUUUUUUCUUUUAUAAAUUUUGAUUAAAGAUUUUCAAAAAGUACAUAUAAAUAAAAAGGAAUGAUUUAAUGAAAUCACUCAAACAAAUUAAAAUAAUAAGCCAUUUCUUAAUCUACACUGAUAAAAUGACCUAGUCAGUGAAACUCCAGCUAUUUAGCGGUAGAUCUGUUUUCAAGGAUGUCCUGUUGUCCACUUAAUAGACUGUUGUUUUUCAACCUGAAGGAAGCAGAAAUAAAUAAAAGAUGUGGAGAAAAUCAAUAUCAUGAAG
rnacentral:lncRNA from 11 species